GGGAGGGGCAGGUGUCUCUGCUGCUGCCUGACUGAUUAUUUCCAGUUUCACUUGGUGUCUGCUUGACUGGUAAUAAAGGAUCCUUGAGAGAGGAUUUUCAGAAGUGAAUAUGGAGUGACGAGAACACUAGAAAAGGAAAUGUUUCCACUUCCACAGAGACUUAUGGCCAAACUUGGCUAGAAAAUGAGACAGGCUUGGAAAGGAACCAUCAGUGAGACUGCGGACCUUGGCCAUCUCAAAAAGCAAGCGUGAGGAAAAGGAGAGUGGAGAUGAUGUCUGAUCUUUCUACACUGAGUGAGGACAAAGAAUCUGUAACACUUACGCUUCAUGAUUUGGGGUAGGGAAGGGUGUCUUGAUCCAAGUCAGAGAUGCUGUUUAAACAGAGAACAACUUGAGGCUUAAGAGCCUGAGGUGUUUCUAGUUCUAUAAGAGCAGACUGACUCAAGAGGCAGUGUUGCAGUGUGUUUGUGGACUUUCAAGGUAGUAAUCCACAGAGGGGCCAGGCAUUAGCACCAAGACACAUUCUGGAACACAUGGAAAAACAAGCUGUCCACAGGCAGUAUGAGACAUCCCAUCCCUUAUCAGUCUCCUGGCCUUCUGAAUACCUGGUCUUUUCACAUCUUCUAGUAAACCUAGUUAACAUCAGCCAGGAAGAGACAGCUGAAAGGCAAGGAGACAGUCUGUCACAGGAAGUCAGUCCUGGGCAGCUCAAGGCCUUUUUUGCAGUGUUGCUGUGUAAAGGUGGAGGGAUGAAGAAUUUGUGGACCCAAGUGGAGACAGGAAACCACCUUAUUGCACCAGUCAACAAACCCUGAAAGUUUUCCUUCAAAAUCUUUCUAUCAACACCAUCUCCCUACUACUACUGAUGCUAGGCUAGAGGAAGAGAAAAAAUAGAUUCUGCCUGAGCAAGUUGAGAGAGGGCUUCCCUGUGUUGAGGCUGAGUCAGAAGGUCAAUACAAUGUUUUAUACAUACUACCAAGGGAAGACUGUUGAAGCAGGGGCUGCACACAUCUGCUGUGGUGACAGAAUAAGGACAGAAUUCCAAUCAGACCUGAAAGGAGGGCACUUGCUGCUCUUCUGGUGAUUGUGAGGCUCCGCUACCAACAGUAUGCACUACAAAGCGAUAAUAUACUAAAAUGUGAUUGUGUGUUUGUAUUUGAUCCAUGAAAUACUUUCCAAAAUAAAUUCACGUAGAAAUUUGCAGAGUACCUCUUUCUUUCCUUUCAAGUGCAAAGCU